rnacentral:rRNA from 1 species
UGCGCAGGCGGCUAUAUAAGACAGACGUGAAAUCCCCGGGCUCAACCUGGGAACUGCAUUUGUGACUGUAUAGCUAGAGUACGGCAGAGGGGGAGUGGAAUUCCGCGUGUAGCAGUGAAAUGCGUAGAUAUGCGGAGGAACACCGAUGGCGAAGGCAAUCCCCUGGGCCUGUACUGACGCUCAUGCACGAAAGCGUGGGGAGCAAACA